GCUCCUCUCCGAGAUGAAUGGUUUUCUCCCAUCUUUCAAGAUGAACUCACCGAAAAGUUUCACUUUCAGAUGCUGGAGGCUGCCCAGACUGAGGCUUAGCGCAGAACCUGGGCUGGGUGUGGGUUAACCCUUCCUUCUGCUCUGCACACAGCGUUUUUCCCCUUCCUGUGCACAACAUUUACAUUUCUAGCUCUGCACCUACAGGCUGAGGAAUUUUUAGAGCAGCACGGGGGCAGAUAUGUCCCUACACAGUUUUUCCAGCUGAAUUGCUCUGUAAUCCACCCUCACAUCUGCUGGCCAAGUGGAAAGGAAUCCUGUUGAAAGGGGAGAGACAAGCAUGGAAAAAGAAGGAAGAAAAAAAAAAAACAAUGAGCAGAAAUUGCAACUUUGCAGCACAUGGGCAGAACAAACAUGAGGACUGCAUCCUUCCCACAGUCACUGCUGCAG
ensembl:lncRNA